rnacentral:misc_RNA from 1 species
AAGUCGUAACAAGGUUUCCGUAGGUGAACCUGCGGAAGGAUCAUUAACACGUAUCCAACGUUAAACAACCCUGUGAACUUUCAACACCGCCGGAAUGAGAUUUCCAACUCCGGUGAAGGCAAGUGACCUGGCACCUGGACACAUCAAAGCUCUGACAGAGUGCCUCUGGAUUGUGCUUGAAGGGUGACGCAGUAACGAUCGCUGGAGGCCCACACGGCCGGCGACUGGGUCAGCGAGCUAACGCUCCCUCAACAACCACUUAACAUGACGACAGUUCCUCUUUAACUUGAGUUGAGCUAUAACAAAAAACUAUACAACUGUUAACAAUGGAUAUCUUGAUUCUC